CAACACAUCUGCACCUGUCUUCAACCACCUCAACCACACAUUGAUAUGAACCAUUUGAUAACAAACAUGCGGUUAUGAUACUGUUAUAAUCAGGCUGGGUAAUAAUGGUUGAAGUGCAUUUCUUAUUUUCUCCACCAGGAGACACUGUUUCUAUACACACAUUUAGAAAGAAGCUUCAUCUCAACUGACUUCUCUGAAGAUCUGCACUAGAGAGAACAGGGUGAUGUGGCGACAUGCGAGAGAUACUCAAAUCGCUGCUCCACCCAGGCAUCAACAUUAUCUUCAUCAUCAUCUUCACCAUCAUGAACAGAGUUCUUCUCUACCUGGUAGCUGUACCUGUCUGGGUUUCAGGUCAGUCGUUUAGCAGCAAGGUUCAUCAGACCCCUGUAGCACUAAUACAGGGACCUGGAGAAAAUGUCAAACUCACUUGCAAUCAUACUAUCCCUGACUACUAUAUGAUUCUAUGGUACCAACAGUCUGCAGGAGACACUGCUAUCAAACUCAUUGGUAAUAUAUAUACACAGUCAGUAACCAUGGAGACAUCCUUUGAAAAACACUUCAGUGUGAGUGGAAAUGGUGGGAAAGAGGCCUAUCUCCACAUCCAGAGUCUGAGACAACCUGAAGACAGUUCAGUGUAUUUCUGUGCAGCCAGUCAACACAGUGAUGUAGAGUUUCCUCUCUCCUCUACAAAAACCCUGUCUGGUAGUAAAGUAGGAGCCGUGAUCAGAACACCUGCAUCUGAGGUUUCAGUUAGGUUUAGAGUCAAAUAA